AGGGAUUUAGCUCAGCAGUAGAGCCUUUGCUUCGUGUGCAGAAGGUCCUUGGUUCAGUCCAGCAGCAUCCCCA